CCUACGGGAGGCAGCAGUGGGGAAUUUUGCGCAAUGCUCGUAAGAGUGACGCAGCGACGCCGCGUGAAUGACGAAGGCCUUCGGGUCGUAAAGUUCUUUCGACAGGGAAGAAAAUGCCUAUAAGUAACUGUGUAUGUAUUGACGGUACCUGUAUAAGCAGCCCCGGCUAACUCCGUGCCAGCAGCCGCGGUAAUACGGGGGGGGCGAGCGUUGUUCGGAGGGACUGGGCGUAAAGAGCACGUAGGCGGUGUUGUAAGUCAUUAGUCAAAGACUAGAGCUCAACUUUAGUAAGGCUAGUGAUACUAUAAUACUAGAGUAUCAGAGAGGAUUGCAGAAUUCCUGGUGUAGCGGUGAAAUGCGUAGAUAUCAGGAGGAAUACCGUUAGCGAAGGCGGCAAUCUGGCUGGAAACUGACGCUGAGGUGCGAAAGCGUGGGUAGCAAACAGGAUUAGAUACCCUUGUAGUC
rnacentral:rRNA from 1 species